AUGUGGCUCAAUGGUAGAGCACUUGCCUAGCAUGCAGGAGUCCCUGGGUUCAACACCCCCCCAUCAU
rnacentral:tRNA from 1 species